GAUGAACGCUGGCGGCGUGCCUAAUACAUGCAAGUCGAGCGAAUGGAUUAAGAGCUUGCUCUUAUGAAGUUAGCGGCGGACGGGUGAGUAACACGUGGGUAACCUGCCCAUAAGACUGGGAUAACUCCGGGAAACCGGGGCUAAUACCGGAUAACAUUUUGAACCGCAUGGUUCGAAAUUGAAAGUCGGCUUCGGAUGUCACUUAUGGAUGGACCCGCGUCGCAUUAGCUAGUUGGUGAGGUAACGGCUCACCAAGGGAACGAUGCGUAGCCGACCUGAGAGGGUGAUCGGCCACACUGGGACUGAGACACGGCCCAGACUCCUACGGGAGGCAGCAGUAGGGAAUCUUCCGCAAUGGACGAAAGUCUGACGGAGCAACGCCGCGUGAGUGAUGAAGGCUUUCGGGUCGUAAAACUCUGUUGUUAGGGAAGAACAAGUGCUAGUUGAAUAAGCUGGCACCUUGACGGUACCUAACCAGAAAGCCACGGCUAACUACGUGCCAGCAGCCGCCGUAA
rnacentral:rRNA from 1 species